AGCAGCCGCGGUAAUUCCAGCUCCAAUAGCGUAUAUUAAAGUUGUUGCAGUUAAAAAGCUCGUAGUUGAAUUUCGGGGUUAGUAGGUUGGUCAUGCCUCUGGUAUGUACUGGUCUCACUGAUUCCUCCUUCCUGAUGAACCUUAAUGCCAUUAAUUUGGUGUUUUGGGGAAUUUGGACUGUUACUUUGAAAAAAUUAGAGUGUUUAAAGCAAGCUAACGCUUGAAUACAUUAGCAUGGAAUAAUGAAAUAGGACGUUCGAUCCUAUUUUGUUGGUUUCUAGGAUUGACGUAAUGAUUAAUAGGGAUAGUUGGGGGCAUUAGUAUUCAAUUGUCAGAGGUGAAAUUCUCGGAUUUAUUGAAGACUAACUACUGCGAAAGCAUUUGCCAAGGAUGUUUUCAUUAAUCAAGAACGAAAGUUAGGGGAUCGAAGACGAUCAGAUACCGUCGUAGUCUUAACCAUAAACUAUGCCGACUAGGGAUCGGAUGAUGUUAAUUUUUUAAUGACUCA
rnacentral:rRNA from 1 species